UUUUGCUUGUCAGCAUUUACGUAUUAAAAAUAAUAGUCAAAGUAACAUUCAAGCUCAUUUAAUGUAUGAUGAGAAAUCGGUAUAUAAAUCCGCAUUUUCCUGAACAAAUAUUCUCAAUACAUUCAACAACGAAUCGUAAGAUUGUAUCUCUGGCCAAAUUUCCUAUCGAUCAAAUACUUGAUUGAAAAGAUGUCGAAUAUAUUUUUGUUGAUGAUUUUAUCCUUAGUUGGUUGGCUUUGACUGGUGUCAAUGCGCAGUGGGAAAAUGAAGACACUGAAGGCUGUCAGGGAAAAUGGUGCCAUGCAGUUCAAGGUUACUAUUGCUGUAACGGUUACAGAUGUUAUUCAGGCGUGACGCAUGAUGGACAUUGUAUACCGAAGUAACAAUGAGGAUUACUUCAAAAUUGAGCACCCCAGAGAGGAAAGUACCACGGGCCCAGGCUUGGCCCAGACUUGGCCCAACUUUGUAGAACCUUGGGUCAGGCUUGUAAGCCAGUCUUGGCCCAGCCUUGGUAGAAGCCUGGAAUGAUAAUCUCGGGCCAAGCCUGGUUGCCAGACCUGGCCCAUGCUUGGUUACCAGACCUGACCCAUGCUUGUUUGUCAGACCUGGCCCAGGCUUCCAGGAAACGAAUAAAUUUAAUUAAAAAAAAUUUAUUAUUAUUAACCUCGUAGAAUUCAUGAUCAUUAACGUUUUAAUUAUCUAGGGGAGGUAAAUGAUGUGAAAAAAACUCGGUGGAAAUUCUGCUGGACUCUGGGCGCGAACUGCCGUCCUUCUGAUUACUAGGUCCGAACGGUAGCUACUGGACGAACCUACUAACGUUGAACUGGUACAUUUAUAUGAUCUACUUAUAUAAACCAUAGGUAUAUCCAAACUUGGGUAAUCCUACCUUGGCCCAAGCCUGUCUUGCCAUUGGAUGGCCAAGGCUAGGUUACCCAGUCUUGGCCCAAGUCCGGGUAAUCAUUGUAACGGCCAAGGCUAGGUUACCCAGUCCUGGCCCAAGUCUGGCUUGCCAUUGGAUAGCCAAGGCUAGGUUACCCAGUCCUGGCCCAAGCCUGGGCCAAUAUAGGUGUGCCAAAGCUAGGUUCCCCAGUGAUGGGCCAAGUAGGGGUCCGUUGUUCAACUCUGGCAGCUCCUGUAUAGGACCUAAUAUAUAUAUGAGACCGUUGGCAAAGUGAAUAUUGACAGAUCUUUUUUCAACAAUUGUACUUUAUUUUUUUUUUUUGAAAUCAAUAAUACACGUUAUUAAUUCAAAAAUUGUAUCUAAUAAAAAAAUAAAAUUAUAUUUUGGCUUCAAAAUAUUAACUGAGCACUAAAAU